rnacentral:rRNA from 1 species
UACGUAGGGGGCAAGCGUUGUCCGGAUUUAUUGGGCGUAAAGAGCGUGUAGGCGGCUUUACAGGUCCGUUGUGAAAACUCGAGGCUCAACCUCGAGACGCCGGUGGAAACCGUAAGGCUAGAGUCCGGAAGAGGAGAGUGGAAUUCCCGGUGUAGCGGUGAAAUGCGCAGAUAUCAGGAGGAACACCGAUGGCGAAGGCAGGUCUCUGGGCCACUACUGACGCUGAGAAGCGAAAGCAUGGGGAGCGAACAGG